AAAAAAUAAAAAAAAAAACAAUAAAAAAAAAAAAAAAAUAAAAAAAAGAAAAAAAAAAAAAAAGAAAGAAAAAAAAAAAAAAAAAAAAAAAAAAAAACAAAAACAAAAAAAAAAAAAAAAAAAAAAAAAAAAAAAAAAAAGAAAAAAAAAAAAAAAAAAACAAAAAAAAAAAGAAAAAAAAAAAAUGAAAAAAAAAAAAAAAAAA
rnacentral:lncRNA from 1 species